AUGAACGCUGGCGGCGUGCCUCAUACAUGCCAGUCGAGCGCACAGACGAGGAGCUUGCUCCUCUGACGUUAGCGGCGGACGGGUGAGUAACGCGUGGAUAACCUACCUAUAAGACUGGGAUAACUUCGGGAAACCGGAGCUAAUACCGGAUAAUAUAUUGAACCGCAUGGUUCAAUAGUGAAAGACGGUUUUGCUGUCACUUAUAGAUGGAUCCGCGCCGCAUUAGCUAGUUGGUAAGGUAACGGCUUACCAAGGCGACGAUGCGUAGCCGACCUGAGAGGGUGAUCGGCCACACUGGAACUGAGACACGGUCCAGACUCCUACGGGAGGCAGCAGUAGGGAAUCUUCCGCAAUGGGCGAAAGCCUGACGGAGCAACGCCGCGUGAGUGAUGAAGGUCUUCGGAUCGUAAAACUCUGUUAUUAGGGAAGAACAAAUGUGUAAGUAACUAUGCACGUCUUGACGGUACCUAAUCAGAAAGCCACGGCUAACUACGUG
rnacentral:rRNA from 1 species